AAUCAAUAUCAUCCGUUCGAUUAUGCUGAGAUUAAAUCUGGGCCGUUUAAACUCCAAAAAAACUGAUGUUGUGGCAGUUCCGGGAAGUUGUUUGCGGUGGUGGUUACUUCCAUCUUUCUCUGCCCAUUAUCCCCACAACUUCCAUCAGUCUCCUAGAAACCUGGUAGUGCUCUCAAAUUCAGUUUCCGCUUGCAAGCAGUUGACGACGAUUCCCCACGCUCCCGUAAUUUUUGGUCUGUUGAAUCUGUUCUUCUCACCCAGCUAUAAAUAUGUCGUCUCAUCUCUCCAAUUAAUCUGAAUUGCCAAAUCAAAAGGAAAAAUUAGGUGAAUGAAGAUGGUAGACAUGUCCCUACGAUUGAAGGAGUGAGCAGGGGUCGAUUUAAUUGGUCUAGGGCCAUACCCAUGAGUUCAAGAUGUUCUUCCAUUUGUUGUUACAAAAAUCACCCCUAAAUUCAAUGAUUGAGUUCGAUUGGUCAUGCUUAAGGUUUCAUUAGAAAUGUUUGGAACCUUGAGCAGAAGAAACCAAAAUGGUUUUCUCCAAAGCCAAGGAAAUUGUUUCCUCAAAUCCCCUUAUCAUAUCCAGGGUAACUACAAAACAAAAUGAGGUAGAGAUGAAGGAUUUCACACAAGUUUACAACGUAAGUGACCAACUUUUUUUUAUUGUAAUUUGUAAGUAAUAUCACAUAUAAUUUGUGAGUAGGAUUGUGUUUAUACAUGAAUCGCACUUGCUUGAUUUUAAUUGACUUGCUAAUUUAGCUUCUUUUAACAAUCUAAUGCUUGGGCAGAAUUUUGGUUUGGUACAAAAAUAUGAAGUCUCGAUGGUUAUUAUAUAUAUAUAUAUAUAUAUAUAUAUAUAUAUAUAUAUAUAUAUAUAUAUAUUCAAAAUGGUGUCUUUAUUUUAAUUUCGACUUUUAAAGUAAAAUUGGUUUUAACUUCAAAAUAUUAGGGCCAUCUCAUGGCACAACAUGAAUCUUGCAUCCAGAAUGGUGAACAAAAUGCCACCAUCUCGAUUAGGCUGUCCGGUUUGGAGUGGUGCCUUUUGUCACAUUUGCACAAUGGCGCCCCAAACACCACCUUACCAUAGCCAAAGAGGGCGCCAUUGAAGGUCUCGCCAAGGGAAUGGCGGGCGAGAGAAGGUGAGCAUGUGGGGCCAUUUGCUUCUUAUCCGAUCAUAAUUUAUUUUUCUUUAACUUCUUUUUUUGUUUUAAUUAAAAGCGGCUUUAUUCCACACCGUGCAAGUUAACAAUAAAUCCCCCCGCUUAUGUGUCGCCUAUGUGGCGUGAUAAAACCCCUAGGGACUUUAUCCCACACCAUAUAGUAUUAAAAUCUAAUUAGGUUAUAGGUAACCACUGUUCUUGACUAUAAUGUAUUAAUUAGUAACUGACAAAAACAAUAUAUUUUUUUCUGUUUAAGAAGCGACUCAUCUACGAUCAUUCUUGACUUUGUAAUUAGAGAUGCACGUUUGGGUUCGGUCUAAAUGGGUUUCGGUAAAUCUUGGGUUCGGGUUGAAAUGACGGGUUAACCUGUUUUUUUUCCUUUAAAUUAUGUUAUAACUUAAAAUGACUACGUAAGUUAUGCCAAAUUUAAGUAUUAAAAUGGAAAGUUACAUUGUAUUUGGUUCAAAACAAACGUUAAAUGGUUUUCAUCGGUUCUGGUAAUUAUAGAAGUCUCCAGCUAAGCUUAGCUUCAUUACAAAGGUGGAAGUGAUUUGAUAUGGUUGGGCUAUGAUGACCAUAAAACUUUUAUUUAUUUAUUUUAUAGGCGUCUAUUAUGAAAGUUUAAUCCUUUUGUGAUAGGUUAUUUAGGCAAUUUAUUUCAGCGUUACAUUUUUUUAUGAGAACUGCGUUACAUUUUUUGUGAGAACUGUCAUGAGCGCAUUCAAAGGCUCGCUAGAACCGAACACAUCAUUAGGAGGUUUCUCUGGUAACAAUUACUAUAAGACAUGUGUACUUAUUAUAACUUAUUCGUGAACAUCGUCGAUAGGGAAAGCGAAGAAACUAAAAAAGUUGUGACGUGGGAGAAGGCCUUCAUUCAGUUGACGUGGGAUGCCUCAUUCGUGGAGUAAUUAUUUAUCCAAUUGUUGUGAUUCAGAUGGGGAUUCUAGGGUAGGUAAUUCUGAUCUUGGAAUUUUACUUGCAAAUGUACUGUUUUUACACAUAGUUAUGUAUGGAAGGGAAAUACGGGUGCGUUCCGCUGUUGAUAGCGAUGCUGGAAGGGAAAUCGGUUGAGGAGAAACAAGCGGCUGCUAAGGCGUUAUCGACAAUCUUGGUUUGUUCGGGGAACAGGAGGAUUUACCGGAAGGAACAAAGAGGGAUAACGAGUGCGGUCCAGCUUCUAGAUCCUACAAUACUGAAUCUGGAUAAGAAAUACCCUGUUUCGAUUUUAAUGUCGUUGACCCAUUCAAAGGAAUGCCGCAAACAGAUUGUUGAUUCGGGUGGUUUAGUGUAUUUGCAAAAGCUUGUGGAAACGGAGGUUGAUGGUGCGAAGAAGUUGCAUGAGACCAUUAGUCAUGGGAACCUAUGGGGUGUUUUCGCAAGGCGGUAACGAUUAUUGAUUAAUAAUCCUUUUCAAAAUAUGUAUUUAAUUGUGGUUUGUUUGUUCAUAAUUUGUUGCUGGUAGUCUACUGAGAUAUAAAUAUGUCUUUAGAAAAUUCUAAAAAUUUCUAAACCUGUGUUUGGUGACC